GCAGAGGAGGGGCUCACGAGGCCUCGCCCUCAGCUGAGGGAGCUGGUGACAAACGCUGGCUGCAGAAGAAAGGGGAGUCCUUUUUAUUUUUUGCUUUUGCAUUUUUGCUUUCUCGAGACGGAGUCUCUCUGUGUAGCCCUGGCUGUCCUGGAACUCGUUCUGUAGACCAGGCUGGCCUCAAGUUCACACAGAUCCUCCUGCCUCUGCUUCCCAAGAGCUGGGGUGAAAAGCUUGUGCCACCACCGCCCAGCAAGGGAGUUCCUUUUCUUGAGGGGCUCUGCCACUGAUAGUCUGCCCACGCGCCACAGGAUAACGCCACACCCGUGUUCGUGCGGGGCCGCGCUGCUCAGACUCCACGGGUUGCCCUAAAAUGGAAGAGGACAUGUAGGAUUACUUUCAAGAAAUAAGAUAGAGAUACAGACAGCCAAGCUUGCAAAAACACAUGAGCAACCAACCAGAGUCUACUGAGAGGGUAAGUGAGGGCUCGGCACUGAAAGGUCCGCCAUAUCCCUCUUGUGGUUCCUCCUGGACCGGAAGGGCUCUAGUGGAAGCAGACAGCAGCAGUGUGGAAAGGUAAACAAGCUUUUGGAAGGGACCCUGCGUGCUCUUGGGACAACCUGUAAACUCUGGCUCUUAUCCCGGCAAAUCUACCUGGACAUGACGACGCCGGUGAGGUAAACAGCAGCUCUGCCAGGCCUGCGCCUCCCUCCCACUCUUCCCUCAGAGGGACCUUGCGUCUUGGUUGAUUCAAUAGGAGGAUUCACCGGCACUACUUUAAGGCGAA